rnacentral:rRNA from 1 species
UACGUAGGGGGCAAGCGUUGUCCGGAUUUAUUGGGCGUAAAGAGCGUGUAGGCGGCCAGACAGGUCCGUUGUGAAAACUCGAGGCUCAACCUCGAGACGCCGAUGGAAACCGUUUGGCUAGAGUCCGGAAGAGGAGAGUGGAAUUCCUGGUGUAGCGGUGAAAUGCGCAGAUAUCAGGAAGAACACCCGUGGCGAAGGCGGCUCUCUAGUACGGUACUGACGCUGAGACGCGAAAGCGUGGGGAGCGAACAGG